UGUGUAUUUGCUGUAUUCUGGCUGUGUCU
rnacentral:piRNA from 1 species